rnacentral:rRNA from 1 species
CGCGUGAGUGAUGAAGUUUCGGAUCGUAAAACUCUGUUGUUAGGGAAGAACAAGUACCGUUCGAAUAGGGCGGUACCGUGACGGUACCUAACCAGAAAGCCACGGCUAACUACGUGCCAGCAGCCGCGGUAAUACGUAGGUGGCAAGCGUUAUCCGGAAUAUUGGGCGUAAAGCGCUCGCAGGCGGUUUCUUAAGUCUGAUGUGAAAGCCCACGGCUCAACCGUGGAGGGUCAUUGGAAACUGGGAGACUUGAGUGCAGAAGAGGAGAGUGGAAUUCCACGUGUAGCGGUGAAAUGCGUAGAGAUGUGGAGGAACACCAGUGGCGAAGGCGACUCUCUGGUCUGUAACUGACGCUGAGGAGCGAAAGCGUGGGGAGCAAACAGGAUUAGAUACCCUGGUAGUCCACGCCGUAAACGAUGAGUGCUAAGUGUUAGAGGGUUUCCGCCCUUUAGUGCUGAAGUUAACGCAUUAAGCACUCCGCCUGGGGAGUACGGUCGCAAGACUG